GCGCGGGGCAACCUGGCGGCGAGUGGCGAACGGGUGAGUAAUAUAUCGGAACGUACCCAAGAGUGGGGGAUAACGUAGCGAAAGUUACGCUAAUACCGCAUACGAUCUAUGGAUGAAAGCAGGGGACCGCAAGGCCUUGUGCUCCUGGAGCGGCCGAUAUCUGAUUAGCUAGUUGGUGAGGUAAAGGCUCACCAAGGCGACGAUCAGUAGCUGGUCUGAGAGGACGACCAGCCACACUGGAACUGAGACACGGUCCAGACUCCUACGGGAGGCAGCAGUGGGGAAUUUUGGACAAUGGGCGCAAGCCUGAUCCAGCAAUGCCGCGUGAGUGAAGAAGGCCUUCGGGUUGUAAAGCUCUUUUGUCAGGGAAGAAACGGUGGAGGUUAAUACCUUCCGCUAAUGACGGUACCUGAAGAAUAAGCACCGGCUAACUACGUGCCAGCAGCCGCGGUAAUACGGA
rnacentral:rRNA from 1 species